ensembl:lncRNA
GUCGCUCAGUUUUUGCACUUGUGCUUGUGUUGCUUGCGCUCUCAACAUUUCUGCCUGUGCACGCUCAACUCUUUCUGUACACCGUUAUAUUUGUGCCACAAAACCAGCCAAUCACAGACUUGGAUGCAAAAAAAAUCUGAUUGCCUGUUUUUUUUUUUUGUUGUUGUUUUUUUGCAAUGUGUGGCAGGAUGAAUGUUAUCCCGCGGUCCAACCCACUUUCAGCCUGGCCCAUUAGGGGGCGCUAGUAUAAAUAGUGGCCAUUUGAGUGUCUCUGCAUCGCUUGCCUGUGAUCUCCUUUUUGGUCACCUGACUUCCUCGGUGUGGUAGAGAUCGUUUGUGGGUUACUCCUCUGAAGCCCCCAUCGCGGCUGGUCGUAGCUAUAGAAGCCUCCUCUGAGCUAUUCUGCUUACGUUCUGUGACCCGGCUUACUUGGAAGUGUGGACCUUAGUUUUGCGCCAAGCUACGCGAACUGAAGUGCUGCUGUUUUGCCUUGCUGUGCUUUUACCGUCUGUUCCCGUUGUGAGAAUUCUUCCCUGCUGCUGUCAGCUUUUACAGUGGACGUCGGCGUGGACAACGGCCAUAUGCAUGCCGGUUAUCGGAGUCAGCUGGCGUGCAUAUUGAUUGACUGUUAACUUAUCGUCGUGUGGACGGCAAGUUGGAGCAGUACGGCGAUUCCGUUUGCUCCAGAUUUUAGAGUUUUAUUCAGAUUGUAUGUUGUUUUAUUGCUUUUUGAUUUGUAGUUUGGAUUCUCUGUUACACCACUGGUGGGAGGCCCUUUUUCUAGCUGUGGAUCACCAGUGUGGUCCUGCAGUUGGGUUAUCCCCCGGUGCUACACAUUAGUUUGUUGUAAUAUAUUAACAUUUUCUUUGUUUCUUUUAUUCAGAUGCGGAGUGCCGACGUGGAGGAGACUAGGGUGCCUUGGUGGUGGGAUCCCUUGAGUGUACACACCUGCCUUGUUUAGUUUAUUAGUGUGAGUGUGUGUGUGAUAGUGUGCUGCACUUGUGUUUUGGGUGUGUUUUCUUUCUUUAGUUUGUGUGUGGCAUCCCUGCCCCUCCACUGGUAAGCCUCAGCUCUGAAUACCUUUUUAAGCAUAUUUGAAUAUUUAUGAUUGUGCUUUUAUAUGGUGUUUUAAAUAAUUAUUAAUAAAUUGUGAAUUUGUUGAUCAUUGAACCUCGUCUCUGGACUGAGUAUAGCGAACCUAAGUGCCUUUCUGGUGAUUUAGUGUUACUUUCAGUAUUCUCUGGGUGAAAUUCCCAGGGUGGCGUUGUCGUUCUUUAAAACUGAAGAGUAUUUACUUUAUAUCCCAACCUCGUCUCGCCACAAAUGCAUUUAUUGAAUAACAAAAACACGGCACAGUGCAGACGUCACAAACAGACAAGUGCAGAUGACAUAAAGGAGCACAAAAAAGGACAAAUCUGAUUGCCUGUUCUGGUCUGCAAUCAGCUCGAAAUGACGAAAUGCAAUAUCCCAGAAUCCAUUUCGUCCAAAAACUCAAAUGAGGCAGUGGCGGAGGAACACAGAGUGGCGGAGUUUGAAAUAUUACUCUUUCUGGGUCACAAAAUAAACUUUUUUCUUUUUACUUUUGUAAAGUAACCUAAAAUUAUUAUUGCCUCAAAGGGAUUUAGUAUUUUGCAAGAUUGUUAUUUACAUACUUAUUUGUAUAACACUUUUAACAAAAUACUCGUGUUACCUUGUUUUGUCUAAUUCAUACUGGCUGCAAGAUUUACCCACGGUGGUACCACAGGGGCUGUGCCAAGAAGCCCCGCAAGACCAAAAAAAACCCCAUUUGUUUGUGAAGUAUGCUGGUCAGAAAGUUAGGGUCGCUGUCAAUUUUUCAAUGUUUUUGAAAUGUUUCUUGUUUUGUAUCGUUGUCUCCUAUAAUAUUUAUUGGUUGUUUAUUUGUUUAUUAAUUCAUUAAUUUAUGUUCGUGUUGCUGUGUGUGUUUCUGUGUUGUUCACAACAUUAGAGUUCAGCUUUGAUUGCAAUUUGUUUGUAGGAUUAUUCAAUUAUUUUGUGUUUCCUAACAUGUUAGCAUAGUUACUGUAUGCAAAGAAUUAAUAUAUAUGUUGUUCCAUGGUUUACUGGUGUUGAGCUUCCGCUGUACCCCCUGUUUCUGGUCUAUUUGUUAGUUUAUUUUAACUGGUGGUUUCUUCUUUAAUUGGAUGUAAUUGUUAUUUGUUUUUGGUUUUCGUUUCAAUUAAUAAGUGCUGUAUUGGAAUGACAUUUUUAUUACCGUUGUUUUGUCUUUCCUAUUACUUGGUGUUCCUAAUCCUUUUUUUUUUGUAUUAUUUUUGAAUUACAACAUUUUUGAAAUUUGACUUUUUAUGCACAGGUUGAAAAUGACAUAUUAUCGGUAUUAAUGUUCUUUUAAAAGUUAUUCAGCAGUUCUUGGAGAGUGUUUGGGAUAUAAUAUGUCACAUGUAACCCUUCUGGAUGAUAUCCAACAAGUUUGAAGCAGAAAUAUUGUUUCAGUGACAAGUUAUAGUCCACAAUCACUUUUUGGCAGUUUUAUUGUUCCCUUAAUGGUAAUUUAGCAGUUCUGAGGGACUGUUUGAGAUGUAAUAUUUGACAUAUGACUGUUAUGGCCCUGGCCAUAAUCUGUUUUGGUGGUUGUUUUGGUGGUUGUUUUCUUUGUCUGUGCCUUUAAGUCUUUGCAGGUCCCUGAGUGGAUGAGCAGACGGCUGCCGAUUGGUCUGCCGAUCAUGGGUCGCAUUCAAAAUCCCUCACCAGCAGUUGUCCUGGGGCAGCCACUGACAGGAGCAGCAGCAGACCUGACCCUGGCCCUGGCCUCCAAAACCUGAGACAUUUGUGCGACCUUCUGAGUUCUGUAUAUAGUGUGUACAUUAGUUUUCAUUGUAAAUAGCACAUUGUAAAUAGCACUGGAACAGAAGGGGUGAGCUGCCUUAUUGUUUUCCUUGCACUGUUUUCUCCUGUUUAUUUCAGUUAGGGAGUGUAGCGCUUGUCUUUUGUUUGAUGUUUGAUUUCACAUAGGGUUUAGAUAGCACCUCCUCCUGACUUAGCUUGUUUUGUUUGUUAUUUUGGCCUUUGUUCACCCCGGAGCUUCAUUUUUGCAGUGUAGAAAAAUAAACCACCAUUCACUAAGAGAUUGGUUUUCCCUCUGUGUAUGGUUUUGGGGACCAGGGCGGGGCAAUUUUCCAAACCUAUGUUGCAUCCCUGUACCCCUAGACUGGGGCGUAACAAUGACCCUUCUGAAUGACAUGCACCAAGUUUGAAGCAGAAAUAGUAUUUCAGUGACAAGUUAUAGUUCACAGUCACUUUUUGGCAAGUCGAAAAUGGC